GUCCAGGGGGCCGCCUUCGCCACCGGUAUUCCUCCAGAUCUCUACGCAUUUCACCGCUACACCUGGAAUUCUACCCCCCUCUACAAGACUCUAGCCUGCCAGUUUCGGAUGCAGUUCCCAGGUUGAGCCCGGGGAUUUCACAUCCGACUUGACAGACCGCCUGCGUGCGCUUUACGCCCAGUAAUUCCGAUUAACGCUUGCACCCUCCGUAUUACCGCGGCUGCUGGCACGGAGUUAGCCGGUGCUUCUUCUGCGAGUAACGUCAAUUGCUGCGGUUAUUAACCACAACACCUUCCUCCUCGCUGAAAGUACUUUACAACCCGAAGGCCUUCUUCAUACACGCGGCAUGGCUGCAUCAGGCUUGCGCCCAUUGUGCAAUAUUCCCCACUGCUGCCUCCCGUAGGAGUCUGGACCGUGUCUCAGUUCCAGUGUGGCUGGUCAUCCUCUCAGACCAGCUAGGGAUCGUCGCCUAGGUGAGCCGUUACCCCACCUACUAGCUAAUCCCAUCUGGGCACAUCCGAUGGCAAGAGGCCCGAAGGUCCCCCUCUUUGGUCUUGCGACGUUAUGCGGUAUUAGCUACCGUUUCCAGUAGUUAUCCCCCUCCAUCGGGCAGUUUCCCAGACAUUACUCACCCGUCCGCCACUCGUCACCCAAGGAGCAAGCUCCUCUGUGCUACCGUUCGACUUGCAUGUGUUAGGCCUGCCGCCAG
rnacentral:rRNA from 1 species